UUCUAAAGUUGGAAAGAAAGAAUAGCUUUGGUCUGACUGUGAAACGAAGAACAUUAUCAUACUUCAAAGCGAGUUGAAGUCCCGAAGCCGAAGACGAAGUACCAACCUCCAUUAAGGAACUUCAACAUUUUUUUGGUGAUGGAACAUCUAUACAUGUAACAAAUGCUUUUUACGAAGACCUUGACAGUGAACAAGGUUUAGAAGCUCAAGCAAAAACGGCGUUGCGAAAGCAUUCCGCCGUAAACGAUUGGAUUGGUGGUGAUGAACAUACCUCAACUUUCGUUCAUAAUAUGAGACUUAUCUCCGAAACGAAGAUUGAAAAGGAGGAAGAUUUGAAGGUUUUAAAGACGAAAUUGUACACACCAGAAGAUUUUCAGACCGAGUUAUUAAUGGAUGGUCUUUUAAAUAACCGAGACGAUUCAGAAGAGGCAACAGCAGCUUUUGACAAAAGCUUCAUCACUUUGGACAAUAGCAUGGUACAGCUUUAUUAUACAGAUGACGGGGGACAAAUGAGCGGCGUCGUUGUGGCCGCGAAACGUAAACACAGCCCGCAUGCUGUGUAUUUAAUCUUUGUCAUGGAUUAAGGUGAUUAGCGAAAUGUGUAACUUGAUCCAUCUAUUUUAUUGUAUUGCCAAGUAUUGUGUGG
rnacentral:misc_RNA from 1 species